rnacentral:misc_RNA from 1 species
AAAAAAAUCAAGAAAAUGAAGGAAUAAAUAAAAGGUUCAGCUUAAAAAUCACUUGAAAUAUCAAAGAACCCAUGAAAUUAAUAGGUUUAAAGGCCUCUCAUCCAGUGGGUUAGGAUUACAAAAAGGCCAGAAAACAACAAUUAUGCAGCAACACGUAGCUACGCCAGCAUUUGAUUAAUAAAUUAUACACUAAGUCAACAGAAAAAUAUUUUUUUUUGCUAGACCAACGUAUUAUUUUGACAA